UUUCGGAGCUGUGCGGCGCGCUGAGCAGGAAUGGCAAUGUGGACCUCUGAUGGAACAUCUGGUGGGAUCUCACAGUCAGUUCUGUGGCAAAGGAGGAUGAAGACUUAAAGAGGACUCAACAGGAAGCUGGAUAACAGAAAGAGAGCAAUGUGCUAGAAUAGAAGACCAGAAAAUGAAAGAUAUGAAAAAAAGGUGGAGUUUAAGGCUGGAUAUACAGCUUGAAAAGUACAAAUGAUGGUUUGAAUAAAGAAAGGUAAGCAUUGCAAAUUUGGUAUUUAUUACUAUAUGAAUUAAGGUACUGUUGGUGAUGACCAAUAAAGUUAAACAGAUGGGAAUCUCUCUGAAUAAGAUUGAAGAUUGAUCAUUAAGCUGAAACAGUAUUUAAGAACAUCAGUAAAUAUACUUUACAAGUACAUAUUUCUAAACGGAGUAUAAUUUCUGCAGGUAUGAACGCAUGGGUCACUUCAAGUGAAGGCACUGCAAACACAAUGAUCAGUCAUUCUGGAUUUCUGGUCCUUCUGAAUUUUAAAGGCUGCGGUGACAAGUGGACAU
ensembl:processed_transcript uncharacterized LOC110297540